UGGCUUUAGAAUGAAAAGAGAGAUGCUUAACUAUUUUAACUAUUGUGGUGAGCGUAAGAAGUUUUGUAUUUAAUUCUCAAAUGUUAAGAAUAAAUUAUCUUAAUUUCAGAGAGAUUUUUAAAAAUUUCAUAGUUUUAGAUAUAUAAAAAUAUAUUACAAUCGCAUUUCUAUUUAAUUUACAUUGUUUACCUGUAAAACUUCAAAAUACUAUAUUGAAUUGUAUCCAGUCGCAACUUUCCUUUAAGGAAAGACAAACGUUUUCAGAUAUUGCCCGAUGCUUUAACGAAGCUAACUUUGUUGACUUUCUGAAUAAUAAAAUGUGUGGCAAAACAUACGAUGAGUUUAAUGCAAUGGUAGCACUGCACGAAGAUUGUUUAAAAGAGCUAAAUUUGGAUGAUAAAUCAAAUGAAUUCGAUGUAGACGAAGAUGAGUUUGCGAAUUGUGUCCAUAAUAAUCCCUGAAAAAUAAAAAAAACAUUGACGUGCA